CAUUUUUUUCUUUUUAUUGAAUAAGAAUACAUGUAUAGAAAAGUACAACUUUCAUAAGUGCACAGCUUGUUGUAAUUUCACAAAAAAAAAUUAACUCAGGUAACCAAUACCCACAGGAGGAAACACAACAUUACCAGCCCCUAGAUGCCCCCUCAUGCUUCCCUUCCUGACUUCUGAUAUUACAAAUUAGUUUAACACAGUUUAUUUUAAAAACACCAUAUUCAGAUUUCAAUAGUUUCAGUAAUGCUUAUAUAAAAAACUGACUUUAAAAAAUUGAUCUGAUUUCCUCCGUCACUGACAAAGACAACAUAAAAAUGGAACUUGUUCUAAAAAAGCACAAAUAGAAGGAAUUUAUCAGAAGCUCACAUUUCAAGAUAGACUUUCUGGCAAAAAUCAAUUAAGUAUAGACAUUGGAUAUAUCUACUUCUACCUCAUGUACAUUUAGGAAAGACCAUGAAAUACAUUACUUAUCAGAAAUAUAUGUCAAGGGCUAAGCUAUUGCUUUGUUUCCUUAUUGGUUUGCAAUAUUGAUGCUGUUAUGCUGCCUUGCAUCCUGGUGGUGACUAAAGUUACAGUUUAGGGUCCAGGAAGUAAUAUGACUGAAAUAGCUUUGAUUAUUUUAAUGGUUAUUCUUGCAAAUCAAUCCAAAUGCAGUAAAUAGAAGUGCAAAGGGUAGAUUUCCAAUUCCAGGAGCAAUCCCUUUACUUCUCCAGGCUUCUUCCUCUAGCCGAGGGCUCUUUCCUUGAAGUCAGUUUCACCCUGAUCUUUUGAUGCACCGCCUUUGGGAUGAGUGGAGAGAAAUGCUUGAGCUCCCCCUAGAGGAUGGCGGUGCUCCUAACUUCAAAACCUUCCAUGACGUCCCAGGACCCAGGAUUAAAAUGUUUUCUGAUAUUUUCUGUUUGUUCCUCCAAAUGUUUUACACCAGCUAAAAAUAUAUGUGACAUUUAUGUUAACAAAAAAGCAACAUUCAUAGAGUGCAAUUAGAAGACAACUUCAUCCUUUUCUUCUUCUGCCCAUUCAAACUCACAUAAAGGGUUACUUCUUCCUCUGCCUCUGGAUAAAACCUUGGUGGGGUCCAAGGGGGAGGGAAGGUCCUAUCCUUAUCUAUUCUUCUGCUGAGGAUAAAAUGUCUUCCAGUCACCUCUAAUUACAAAACAGUUUUAUUUCAGUAAUUAAAAUAUCCAUUUCUAUGUCAUAGUCAAACCUCUGAAAUUCAUUUAACAUGAAAACUUUUCUCUCCUGACUCCAGCCACUAAAAGCUACAGUGGGUGUUGGGUAGAGGAGGAGACUGGUUAGAGAGGCAAGUGAUUUAUUCUCCGGCUCAUGUUUCUAUAUGGAGGCAUUUUCCAAGACUAACAAUCCUGGCUUCUCUCUUUUGGCUUUCCUUGUCCUCCGUGGGGCAAAGUUAUCUGGAAAGUCUGGAAGGGACCAGGCACACGCAGCUCAGCCUUUGCUGCUCUCCCCUCUCUUCACACUUGUGUUAUCUGAGAGGGGUUGGGGAGGGGAGGUAGUAGCUGCUCCCUUUAGAUAAAGCAUGUACUUUCUAGCUCUCCCCAGUUCCCAGCUAGUUAGGGUUGCUGCAUUUAGCAAAUAUGAAUGCAAGAAGCCUGUUUAAAUGUGCAGAAAAGAUAAACAACUAUUUUAUUUUUACUUUUUAGUGUAAGUAGGUCCAAUGCAACUCAUGCAAUUCAGUUAAAGCACCCUAUAUUGUAUCUGGCAACCCUACCUCAACCAGUUUUGUUAUCCACUUGGGCUUAGAAGGUAAGUGAGCUUUUUACCCUUGUAGUCAUUUUUACUUAUUUUUAUAAGUACAAUACCUAACAUACUACCUGGCCCAUAGUAAGAUGUUCAAUAACAUUGAUGGAAUGAUUAUAUAAACAUAGCCUGAAGACCAAAAUCAUAUUCCAUAGAAAAUAUC
rnacentral:lncRNA from 10 species